rnacentral:rRNA from 1 species
GAGUUUGAUCUUGGCUCAGGAUGAACGCUGGCGGCGUGCCUAAUACAUGCAAGUCGAGCGAACAGACGAGGAGCUUGCUCCUCUGACGUUAGCGGCGGACGGGUGAGUAACACGUGGAUAACCUACCUAUAAGACUGGGAUAACUUCGGGAAACCGGAGCUAAUACCGAAUAAUAUAUUGAACCGCAUGGUUCAAUAGUGAAAAACGGUUUUGCUGUCACUUAUAGAUGGAUCCGCGCCGCAUUAGCUAGUUGGUAGGGUAACGGCUUACCAAGGCGACGAUGCGUAGCCGACCUGAGAGGGUGAUCGGCCACACUGGAACUGAGACACGGUCCAGACUCCUACGGGAGGCAGCAGUAGGGAAUCUUCCGCAAUGGGCGAAAGCCUGACGGAGCAACGCCGCGUGAGUGAUGAAGGUCUUCGGAUCGUAAAACUCUGUUAUUAGGGAAGAACAAAUGUGUAAGUAACUAUGCACGUCUUGACGGUACCUAAUCAGAAAGCCACGGCUAACUACGUGCCAGCAC